GAGGGGAGGAGAAGCUAGGUGGUGAGGGACUGAGCAGAAAGGAAAAAUGACUCAUGGAUAUGGACAACAGUAAAGUGAUUGCUGGGGUGAAAGGAGUAUAAGGGACUAAAUGGUAAUGGCAAAAAUAUAAUAAAGAUUAUAUUUAAAAAAUAAAAAAUAAAAUAAAAUAAAAAUACAACACUAACUGUGAGCUCCAAAAUUCAUUCUACUACCUACGAACUGGCUAUUUGAAAAACACUGCCACAGAGACCUCUAGUAGAACUGAUACCCACUUUCUCCUAUUAUUAGGACUAAUCCCAUUAUACCUCACAUCCCAGGAAAAGACCAGCUCUUCCUGGGCAUCUGUCUGUCAUUACCCAAGUUCAUAUUGCCACACUGCUGGGUAUAUCCUCCACUGGAGGCUGUGCCCUUACUUCCUUCACCCUUUGCUGACUUCACCAUUCAUGCACACUGAUUGACUCCUUUAAUACCUCAGCCUCUUUAUUCAUUGGCCUCUUCAUUUCCACCUCAGCAGCCCACUCCCAAUACCAUCUUGGGUAUUAUCACCACCAGAAACUAUUACACCUGUCAAAUCUCCAUUUCAAGCAUCCCACUCUGACCACCAUGUUCAAUCCUUACUUCACAUCACCCACCCCACCCCCUACAACAAUUUAAUCAAAACUUCCAAAACAGUGAUGCUACCACUUAUUUACUAUUCAUCCUUAUUUCACCUACUUUCUUGUUCAUGUUAAACUUCACGAUUCAUCGCCACUCCUCUAACUAUCCCCUUUAAAAAGCCCUCAUUUCCCUUGUCCCUUUUCCUUCUAUAUUGACUUAGUAUUAUGCAUUAACUUGGGCUAUAGUCUUGUUAUUCAAUCAAUUACUAGUGUAUAAGUGUUACUGUGAAAGUAUUUUGUAGAUAUGGUAGCAUCCACAAUCAGUUAACUUUAAGUGAAGGAGAUUAUCCUCAACAAUAUGGGUGAGCCUCACCCAAGCAGUUGAAAGCUCUUAAGAGCAAAACUGAGGUUUCCCUAAGAAAGAGGAAAUUCUGUUUCAAGACUGCAGCAUCAGCUCUUGCUCCAGUUUCCUGCAAGCCUGCCCUACAGAUUGCCAACUUUUCAGUCCCAUAAUUAUGUAAGCAAAUUUGUGGAAAUUUCUUUAUACAUACAUAUCUCCUGCUGACACCAUUUCUCUAGAGAACUCUGACUGAUACGCCUGGCAAAGCCUCAUACCAGAGGAAUCCAACCACCUGCAGUAUCUGUGCUUCUAUCUAAUCAGUUAAAUAAUGCUGGGGGGAAAGCAAAAUUAAAAAAAUAAAAACCUAGGCUGACUGAUAUCACCUUAAAAAUUCAAGAUUUAAAACUUUAAAUUAACAAUCAAUAAGUACUGGCAAACUGCUUCGAACUUCCCACACUCCCUUACUCUCUGCUCAUACCAAUAUCAGAGUUCACUGAGAAAAGAGAAACCACAAGAGAAAAUGAAGGCCUGGAGGAUAAGGCUUCAUCUUAAAACCAUCAAACUUCCUCGCAAGGGUACACAACUUUUCUGCGUUCCUUCCAGUUCAUGGAAGACAUCUCUCUCACAAAGGUCAACCUCUCUACUUGUACCCUCUAUCCCCUUUACCACAUAUUCUCCUUUCACUGGCUGGACCCCACAUUUUCUUUUAUCUACCAACCCACUUCUCUGUUCCAUUCACAGCUAAACUUUUUAAAGUUGUCUACAUGCAAUGUGUCUGAUAUGCUUUCUUACU